rnacentral:rRNA from 1 species
UCCAUUCUUAAUACCGGCUGCGGAUAGUCAAGCAAUUAUGUCCGGAAAGACUUGGCUCUGGUUAAUACCUGGGGUCGAUGACGGUACCGGAAUAAUAAGGACCGGCUAACUACGUGCCAGCAACCGCGGUAAUACGUAGGGUCCAAGCGUUAAUCGGAAUUACUGGGCGUAAAGCGUGCGCAGGCGGUUGUGCAAGACCGAUGUGAAAUCCCCGAGCUUAACUUGGGAAUUGCAUUGGUGACUGCACGGCUAGAGUGUGUCAGAGGGGGGUAGAAUUCCACGUGUAGCAGUGAAAUGCGUAGAGAUGUGGAGGAAUACCGAUGGCGAAGGCAGCCCCCUGGGAUAACACUGACGCUCAUGCACGAAAGCGUGGGGAGCAAACAGGAUUAGAUACCCUGGUAGUCCACGCCCUAAACGAUGUCAACUAGUUGUUGGGGAUUCAUUUCCUUAGUAACGUAGCUAACGCGUGAAGUUGACCGCCUGGGGAGUACGGUCGCAAGAUUAAAACUCAAA